rnacentral:misc_RNA from 1 species
GAUGAAGAACGUAGCGAAAUGCGAUAAGUAGUGUGAAUUGCAGAAUUCAGUGAAUCAUCGAAUCUUUGAACGCACAUUGCGCCCUUUGGUAUUCCAAAGGGCAUGCCUGUUCGAGCGUCAUUUGUACCCUCAAGCUUUGCUUGGUGUUGGGCGUCUUGUCUCUAGCUUUGCUGGAGACUCGCCUUAAAGUAAUUGGCAGCCGGCCUACUGGUUUCGGAGCGCAGCACAAGUCGCACUCUCUAUCAACAAAGGUCUAGCAUCCACUAAGCCUUUUUUUCAACUUUUGACCUCGGAUCAGGUAGGGAUACCCGCUGAACUUAAGCAUAUCAAUAAGCGGAGGA